rnacentral:rRNA from 1 species
UACAGAGGUCUCAAGCGUUGUUCGGAUUCAUUGGGCGUAAAGGGUGCGUAGGUGGCGCGGUAAGUCGGGUGUGAAAUUUCGGAGCUUAACUCCGAAACUGCAUUCGAUACUGCCGUGCUUUGAGGACUGGAGAGGAGACUGGAAUUUACGGUGUAGCAGUGAAAUGCGUAGAUAUCGUAAGGAAGACCAGUGGCGAAGGCGGGUCUCUGGACAGUUCCUGACACUGAGGCACGAAGGCCAGGGGAGCAAACGGG